GAUGAACGCUGGCGGCGUGCCUAAUACAUGCAAGUCGAGCGAACAGACGAGGAGCUUGCUCCUCUGACGUUAGCGGCGGACGGGUGAGUAACACGUGGAUAACCUACCUAUAAGACUGGGAUAACUUCGGGAAACCGGAGCUAAUACCGGAUAAUAUAUUGAACCGCAUGGUUCAAUAGUGAAAGACGGUUUUGCUGUCACUUAUAGAUGGAUCCGCGCCGCAUUAGCUAGUUGGUAAGGUAACGGCUUACCAAGGCAACGAUGCGUAGCCGACCUGAGAGGGUGAUCGGCCACACUGGAACGGAGACACGGUCCAGACUCCUACGGGAGGCAGCAGUAGGGAAUCUUCCGCAAUGGGCGAAAGCCUGACGGAGCAACGCCGGGUGAGUGAUGAAGGUCUUCGGAUCGUAAAACUCUGUUAUUAGGGAAGAACAAAUGUGUAAGUAACUAUGCACGUCUUGACGGUACCUAAUCAGAAAGCCACGGCUAACUACGUG
rnacentral:rRNA from 1 species